rnacentral:rRNA from 1 species
GGGCCCGCACAAGCGGUGGAGCAUGUGGUUUAAUUCGAUGAUACGCGAGGAACCUUACCAGGGCUUAAAUGUAGAUUGCAUUAGUCAGAGAUGAUUAUUUCUUCGGACUAUCUACAAGGUGCUGCAUGGUUGUCGUCAGCUCGUGCCGUGAGGUGUCAGGUUAAGUCCUAUAACGAGCGCAACCCCUAUCGUUAGUUGCCAUCAGGUCAUGCUGGGAACUCUAACGAGACUGCCGGUGCAAACCGUGAGGAAGGUGGGGAUGACGUCAAAUCAUCACGGCCCUUACGUCCUGGGCUACACACGUGCUACAAUGGUGGGGACAGAGAGCAGCCACUUCGCGAGGAGGAGCGAAUCUUCAAACCCCAUCACAGUUCGGAUCGCAGUCUGCAACUCGACUGCGUGAAGCUGGAAUCGCUAGUAAUCG